UGGCAUUCGAGUGGCGGACGGGUGAGUAACGCGUGGGUAACCUGCCUUACACAGGGGGAUAACACCUGGAAACAGGUGCUAAUACCGCAUAAGCGCACAGGGCCGCACGGCCCGGUGUGAAAAACUCCGGUGGUGUAAGAUGGACCCGCGUCUGAUUAGCUUGUUGGCGGGGUAGGGGCCCACCAAGGCGACGAUCAGUAGCCGGCCUGAGAGGGUGGACGGCCACAUUGGGACUGAGACACGGCCCAAACUCCUACGGGAGGCAGCAG
rnacentral:rRNA from 1 species